rnacentral:rRNA from 1 species
GUAGGUGGCAAGCGUUGUCCGGAAUUAUUGGGCGUAAAGCGCGCGCAGGCGGUCCUUUAAGUCUGAUGUGAAAGCCCACGGCUCAACCGUGGAGGGUCAUUGGAAACUGGGGGACUUGAGUACAGAAGAGGAAAGCGGAAUUCCAAGUGUAGCGGUGAAAUGCGUAGAGAUUUGGAGGAACACCAGUGGCGAAGGCGGCUUUCUGGUCUGUAACUGACGCUGAGGCGCUAAAGCGUGGGGAGCAAACAGGGAUUAGAUACCCUGGUAGUCCACGCCGUAAACGAUGAGUGCUAAGUGUUAGGGGGUUUCCCGCCCCUUAGUGCUGCAGCUAACGCAUUAAGCACUCCGCCUGGGGAUACGGCCGCAAGGCUG